AGUUCGGCCUAACUGUAACAUAUCCAACGCUCUUUCACUGCUACUUGGGCGUUCUUAAUGACUAACUUUCCGACUGGAAACAACAGGACAAGAGCUAAGGUUUAAAGAGACGACACAUCACCAGAUGUUAUGGGGAUAUGCUUCAAAAAAGUGGAAUCUCAGAAUGCAAAUGACGUCAGGAAAAAAGGUAUAAAAGGGUAAACACAUUUGACAAUGAACUGGUUCCUAUCCACACCCAGUCCCCUCCAGAGCACCAAGCAGUUGGGCCUCCGGUUCUUGCCUGGUCGGCCCCUGGAGGUCACCUACCAUGGCUGUCCCUUCAGCCCCCUCUUGGCUGUCUCACUUGCCCUGUGACACCACUGUGACUCCCCCCAGGACCUCAGAGGGUCGGUGUCCCCAGAGUAAUGCCCAGCUUCCCAGGACCCAGAGAAGUUCCCCGUCAAACCUCGUCCCCAUCAGCCAUGCCCCAGUUCCUGCCCCAGUGCCGCAUCCUGCCUUUUCUCCUUCCAGGCCCAUGGUUCUCCCUUGUCUGUCUGGCCCUGGUGAUCCUUCACCUGUCCGUCCUGUGUUGGUCUGUGUGUCAGUUGCAUCCUACGUUCUCUGUCUUGUUACUUGCCUUCUCUCGGUCCCCGUUAGUGCGUUUCCCCUGUCUGAGUGUCAUGUUUGCCCUGGUGUGUACUCAGUGCGUCUCUAUGAUGUUCCGUUGUGUUUUCAUCCUGGUCCUAGUUCUCCCUACCCCUGUGUGGUCUUGCUAUCCAUACAGUUCCAUGCCAGCCCCAGUGACAGCCCAUCUUGUUUUCCCUGGGUCCUGUUUCAUGUAAGCUACGUGUCUCACCCUAGUGUUGUCCCUGGUCUUUCCCGAGUUUGUCCCAUGUUUUGUCCCCUAUCACCAGCUGUGCUUUCCGUUUGGCCCCAUGUGGGGUGCCUUUUGUUUGCCCUGUUCCCGUGUCCUUUAAUAAACCCUUUAUUAGUUUGUCCUCA